UACGGAGGGUGCAAGCGUUGUUCGGAAUUACUGGGCGUAAAGCGCGUGUAGGCGGUUUGGUAAGUCAGAUGUGAAAGCCCUGAGCUCAACUCAGGAAGUGCAUUUGAAACUGCCAUACUCGAGUAUGGGAGAGGAGAGUGGAAUUCCCAGUGUAGAGGUGAAAUUCGUAGAUAUUGGGAGGAACACCCGUGGCGAAGGCGACUCUCUGGACCAAUACUGACGCUGAGACGAGAAAGCGUGGGGAGCAAACAGG
rnacentral:rRNA from 1 species